UCCCAGCGGUCCAGGUCGCAACCACAAUUAUUGGGUCUAAAACAUCCGUAGCUUGCUAGAUAAGUCUCUUGUGAAAUCCGGCCUCUUAAGGGUCGAAGAGCAAGAGAUACUGUUUGGCUAGAGACCGGGAGAGGUAAGAAGUACGGUCGGGGUACCGGUAAAAUGGGUUGAUCCUGUCUGGACUAACAACAGCGAAGGCAUCUUACCAGCACGGAUCUGACAGUAAGGGAUGAAGGCUAGGGGCGCAAAAGGG
rnacentral:rRNA from 1 species